rfam:Actinomyces sp. oral taxon 448 str. F0400 genomic scaffold SCAFFOLD1, whole genome shotgun sequence.
CGAGUCGACUGGGCGGCCGCGGUGCUCCUGGGCAACCGGGGGAUCGAGGAACGUCCGGGCUCCACAGAGCAGGACGGUGGCUAACGGCCACCCGGGGUGACCCGCGGGACAGCGCCACAGAGAACAGACCGCCGGCCGGACAGCCAGCCGGUAAGGGUGAAACGGUGGGGUAAGAGCCCACCAGCACCGCAGGCGACUGCGGCGGCUCGGCAAACCCCGUUCGGAGCAAGACCGUACAGCAGGCGUUCGAGGGCUGCUCGCCCGAGCCUGCGGGUAGGUCGCGCGAGCCCACCGGCAACGGCGGGCCGAGAUGGAUGGCCGCCACCGCCGCGCCGGUAACGGCGGGCGGCAACAGAACCCGGCGUACAGGUCGGCUCGUCCG